CUGAGUAUCGGGGCUCCGGCUCCUGCUCUCACACUUUGUGAACCUUUUAUACCGUUGCUUUGGUGGGCCGGCGGUACCGCCGCCGCCGGCCUCUGGCUGGGGAGCGCCCACCAGAGGACCUUUAAACUCUGCUCAACCUGCUAGUCUGAGUCGGAGUCGAAUUGAAUUA
rnacentral:misc_RNA from 1 species